rnacentral:lncRNA from 1 species
CCCCUGGCCACUCUGAAGGUCCAUCUCGCUACCCCGUGGACAGGAGAGGCUUUGUCCAAAAUGGCAGUAUUUUUCCAAGACGGUCAUUAAGCUCUGAACGGACACUCAGAAGAUUGGAAGACAUUUCGCAGUAACUGAAGGUGUGCAUUUUAAGUAGUUAGGAAGGACCCAGCUCUUUUUUCUUUUCAAGCAUUUGAAAGAUGUCUGUGAAGCCACUUCACAGCAAGCUAUUGUUUGUCCCCAAAUACCAGUGUCCCCUUUAACCUUCCUUUGGACACAUUUUCCACUUGCAUCGCCCCAGUUGACUUCCUUUCCAUGAGUUCACCUGCCUCUGAGGAGUUGAGUGCAAACCACCAGGCCUUUGCUCAGUAGCUGGCCGGCCUGUGUGCAGU